UACGGAGGGUGCAAGCGUUGUCCGGAAUCACUGGGCGUAAAGGGCGCGUAGGCGGGCUCGCAGGUCAGGGGUGAAAGCCCACGGCUCAACCGUGGAAGUGCCUUUGAUACCGUGAGUCUCGAGGGAGGUAGGGCGUGCGGAACUUCCGGUGGAGCGGUGAAAUGCGUAGAUAUCGGAAGGAACAUCGGUGGCGAAAGCGGCGCGCUGGACCUCUUCUGACGCUGAGGCGCGAAAGCCAGGGGAGCAAACGGG
rnacentral:rRNA from 1 species